CCCUUUUCCAGAAUAGACCUGCGCCGUUACAGAUCGGACCUGCUAAAAACAUCUGUUUUGGUUCUGAUUAUCAUGUUUGUCGCGCUGAAAUCAUGCGUUUUAACGCAUACGAGUUUAAAUUUCUGAUAAAUGGUUUUCUGAGCGUGCACAGCCAAAGCGCACGGACAGAAAGCGGCCACCACACAGCAUGUAAUAAUAGAUGUCAGGUUACCAUGGCAACGUCAUAUCCCAUCCUUGGACAAGUGUUUCAGUUUGCGAAUGAGAGGAAAUGGGAUCUUUACACCCAAUUUGAAGUGAAAAGGUGGUGCUGCUGCAUCUUCACUAUGAAACUUAACCUCAGACGGAACAAGCUUCAUACUGCUUCCAGGGGCAGUGGGACGCGGUUUGCUUGUGUUAGUGUUUCCGAGAACACACACAUGCUGUAUUCUGGCAGUGUUCAGAGUUAAUCCCCACUCAGCCACGCUCCACGCUCACGCUGCAAGACGGCAAAUGUAACACAAAAACACGCUGGAAAAAGACAGGACGGUGUCUAUUAACACACGACUCUUUUAUCAAGAAUUCAUGGAUUAUUUCAGAUCUCUCUUUCUCCUUGAUUUGCUUCCAAAC
ensembl:lncRNA